rnacentral:lncRNA from 1 species
GUAAAGGUCUGGCUUCUGCUGGCAAGGUAUUUAGUGGCAGUGUCUAUAAACAAAGCAGUAGCGGGAGUAUACAGCUAGCAAGGCAGAAGGAUUACGAUGAGAUUCCUGCAAACUAGAAUUUUCUGUUUUGAAGAUGUGCCCAGUUUGGAGGAAGACUCUGGGACGGCCCCAUCUCUGAAGGAUGAAGGCUUGCAGAGCGGCUCACUCCAGCGCUUUGCACAGCUGAUGAAAAGGGGGAAAUUCCAGCAGUUCUACGGCCUGAUGGGAAAACGGGCUAGUGGGCACCAGGGAGAGACGUUCAUAGGACUCAUGGGACGAAGAUCCUCCAGUGGAGGUGGGUGAGCUCCCAUGCCUGACGCUCCUUAGAUCAGUCUCUCUCCCCUGUCAGCUAUUCUGACAGGGAGCUCUCAGCUCAUUAUUCACCUGUCCUCCUCCUCCACCCACUUAUUUAUAGGAAUCCUCUAUAGCUGCUGGAGUUUUCAAGAACUUUGCUUGAUGCAGACAGACCCUCACUGGUUCAAGUCUCUCUGGUGGCAUUUGUG